rnacentral:rRNA from 1 species
GAUGAACGCUGGCGGCGUGCCUAAUACAUGCAAGUCGAGCGAACAGACGAGGAGCUUGCUCCUCUGACGUUAGCGGCGGACGGGUGAGUAACACGUGGAUAACCUACCUAUAAGACUGGGAUAACUUCGGGAAACCGGAGCUAAUACCGGAUAAUAUAUUGAACCGCAUGGUUCAAUAGUGAAAGACGGUUUUGCUGUCACUUAUAGAUGGAUCCGCGCCGCAUUAGCUAGUUGGUAAGGUAACGGCUUACCAAAGCAACGAUGCGUAGCCGACCUGAGAGGGUGAUCGGCCACACUGGAACUGAGACACGGUCCAGACUCCUACGGGAGGCAGCAGUAGGGAAUCUUCCGCAAUGGGCGAAAGCCUGACGGAGCAACGCCGCGUGAGUGAUGAAGGCCUUCGGAUCGUAAAACUCUGUUAUUAGGGAAGAACAAAUGUGUAAGUAACUAUGCACGUCUUGACGGUACCUAAUCAGAAAGCCACGGCUAACUACGUG